UUCACCUCACUAUGAAAAGGUAUAACACGAUGCUUUAACAAGAAACAUAAACAAACUUGAUAGUUCCUGAAAGUACGCAUCACUUAUAUUUGUAUAAACUAUAUUAUCACGUUCUUAAUUUACAAUUUAUCUCCAUUUUAAACUCCAGGAAAAUUUUAUUUAGUUGAUUGUGGAUUCACCAAUCGACAAAUUUUUUUAGCUCCAUUUCAAAGUACUCACUAUCAUCUCCAAGAAUUUCGAGGACAAGGAAAAGAACAUGUAAAAUCCAAAUGAGUUGUUCAACCAUCGUGGUUCUAGCUUGUGAAAUGUAACAUAGAGGAUUUUUGGCAUUUUCAAGUCAAGAUUUCUCAUCUUCAAAUAUGCGCCACCUUUUCCAUAUAAGAGGCAAGUAGAGUUAGCUAGUUAUUGCUUGUGUUGGCUUACAUAAUUAUCUGCAUAAAGAAAGUCGUUCCGAUUUAUUUCUUCCAAAAGAAUAUGUUAUCAAAGAAACUAACGUUGAUGAAAGAAAUGAUGACGAGAAUAAUGAGGAAGAAAACUUCAUGGUACUCAAGAACAACAAAGAGGACAUACUAUUAACUGGAGAGCAAAUAUAGCUCCAAGCAUUUGGACAUAUGCUAUUGUUGGAUAUGACUUGAAUAGAAUUGGGCCAAUGACUUUAGGCCCAGCCCGUUUAGGUUAACUAGGGUUUAUUCCUAGUGUAUUCCCUAUAAGUAUUCUCCUUAACCUAGCCUCCUAUUGUAUUUUGAAUUUUCUAUUGUUUCUCCAGUAAUAAAAUCUCUCUUAGUGUAACAACCCGCCCAGUGGGAUUCUGCCACAUGGCACAUCCCGCCACAUGGCAACCUUAAAGCGCUGCAGCGCAUUGACCCUAACCUCUCUCCUAUGGGUCCAAUCUGCGCAGCCCACUGCUCGCAGCCUCCUGGCCCACUAGGUAGGUUAUUGGUGCGUCUGGCGUUCCUCGAACACCGGUCCUCACCCUUUAACAACCUUCCGACCAUGGAAACUGUUACCAAUUGAACUGCAGGUUUUGCAUAUUUGGAAGCAGUAUUCCACCAAAAUUGGUGAAACAUUCGAGAUGUUUUUGGUCGACAAUUUUGGUCAUAAGAUUGCUGCUAACGUCAAAAAGAAGCAUAUCAAAAGUUUGAAAACUUUUUAAUCCCAAAUUUUUGGAUCAUUAUUUCUAUUUUUGGUUUAAUUCCUUUUUUAUGGUGCAUUGAAAAUAUCGGACAUAAAGUUUAUGAUUGGUUUCAUGUCGAAAACAAUUGUCCAGUUACGAUGACAUGCUUCUUUAAUUGGCCAGUUACGCUGAUGUUCUUGCUGGGAAACAAAACAAGAGUUAUUUAUUUGACUUUAUGGGCCAUCUCGAUGAUUGUGGUGAGAUUCAAGAUAUCCCUAUUUCUACUAAGCCUACCAAGAAGAUCGACUUUCACUUGAGAAACAACGAGUAAGCUUACUAAUUUUCAAGUCUAAAUUUCCAAUUCAAGAAAAUAAUUGGUAGGACAUAUUUCUAUUAUUUUCAAUUAUUAAUCAUUCGCUAUACUACGAGUACUCGGGUGUUAUGUACACUGUGGGAAAAAUUUGCUGAAUCACUAAGUCAAGCAUGUCAAGAAACGACGGAUGGUAUUGUAUUUUGUUUGAUACAAUUUUCCAAAGUCAAUGUUUUAAUGGUAACAUAACAAUUUACGUGACAUAAUCUUUUACAUCAAAAUAUAAAUAUGUAUACAGACUAAAAGACUUU